rnacentral:rRNA from 1 species
ACGCUCGACACCUACGGUAGGCAGCAGUUGGGAAUAUUGGACAAUGGAGGAAACUCUGAUCCAGUGACGCCGCGUGAAGGAAGAAGGUCUUCGGAUUGUAAACUUAUUUUGUCAGGGAAGAAAAAUGACUGUACCUGAAGAAAAAGCACCGGCUAACUACGUGCCAGCAGCCGCGGUAAUCUGAGCGGGCUGGCAAGGC